rnacentral:lncRNA from 1 species
UCUUGAGUGGGCACGGAGCCCCAGCAUGCUGGUUCAAUAAAUCCCCCUUCUGCCAAUUGCAUGAGUGGUCACUUGGUGGUCUCUUUCUCUGACGUUUCGCGGGACCCUUACAUUUGGUGCAUUGGCCAGGAAAAGUGCAUCGCCAGACAAGGAGACCUCCAACGGACUCUUUUAGGGGGUAAGUAAGGCGCCUCUUCCUCUUCUUCUUCCUCCUUUUCUUCUCCUCCUUGUUCUCCUUCUUAUUUUUCCUUUGCGAUCGCUUAGAGCUUUUUGGUUUUUGGCUCGAUGGAGAGCGUAAGUUCUCAGAGCUUUUUGGUUUUGGGCUCGGUGGAGAGUGUAAGUUCUCAGAGCUUUUUGGUUCAGGUUUGGUUUUUGGCUUGGAUUGGUUUGGUUGGGUUGGCAGCAUGGCCGUCAGUGGAGAGUGUAAAUUCUCCCUGGCAGUGGUGACAGACGUGUCCUAAUCCACAGGCCACUCCUCUUAAGGGACGCCUUAGAGGAUUUGGGGGGGGGGCAAAAGUGCCCCCAGUUGGUAGAGGGACAAGAGUGCCCUCGUUUGUACUCUGCUGCCAACCCGUUUGGUUUCGCCGGCAA